rnacentral:lncRNA from 1 species
GAACCCUCAUGAAUGAGAUUAGAGACACAGGAGACAUAAUCUUUCUUUCUCUUUCCAUCUUGUACGGAUAUGACAAGAAAAUGGCUAUGUGACCCAGGAGGAUAGCCUUCACGAAGAACCUCACCAUGCUGGUACCUUGAUCUUGGAUUUCCAGCCUCCAGACUGCUGGAAUGAAGAGGCGCAGUCUCGGCUCAUUGCAACCCCUGCCUCCCACGUUCAAGCGAUUCUCCUGCCUCAGCUUCCGGAGUAGCUGGGAUUACAGGCACUUGCCACGACACCUGGCUAAUUUUUGUAUUUUUUAGUAGAGAUGGAGUUUCACCAUGUUGGCCAGGCUGGUCUCGAACUCCUGAUCUCAGGUGAUCCACCUGCUUCAGCCUCCCAAAGUGCUGGGACUGAGACUACAGUUUUUAACCUGCGCCUCCUCUGCAUGUACAUCCACACGGAGAACCACGUUGAUGGGGGAACCCUACCACAGGGCAGGGACUAGCAGCUCAUCCCAGGGAGCCACACCUGCUUCUAGCGCCUACUCCAUGUCCUGCAUAAUUUCCCUUUGUUUUCACAUUAUUCCCAUCAUUCUCCCUCCAUUUUUCUUCUACUCUUCCUUGUUUUACUCUUCUUUUGCAUCUCCCUAGUUUAUGAUUUAAACUCACCCAUAGUUCUUAUCAGUACUAUAUAACUCCGCUAAUAGUAAUCCCAAGAUAUAAUUCAAUUCUACACAAUUCAACUUAAAACAUAGUUAAAUACUUACUUUCAUAGGUAUUGUACAAGGUUCUGGAGAUAUAAAAAGGAAUAAGAUGACCCAGGCUAUUGCCUCAAUAAGCUCAUAGUCUCAAUACAGAGACAGGCAUGUAAAGAAACAAAUUGCUAUUUAAGUUGAUAACAAACCAACAGAAUAAUGUAACAAUACCCUAAAGAAAGAAAUUACUAAUGCUCUGGGGAAGCAGAGAUUUGCACAAGAGAGUGACAUCUGAGCUGGGAUGUGAAUGCUGAAUAGGAGUUCAAGCAAACCCAAUAGAAGGUGUUGGGUCUCAGAAUGUGAUACUGUGAAGUAUGGCAUUUUGACAAGCUGAAUACUUUGAACUGAAGGAGACUGGAAGGGCGUAAAAAGAUAUUCUCUCUGACCUCCUUCUUUUUCCUUCCUUUCUCCUUCCCCUAUUUCCUCCUGAAGGUGCAUCAUGCACGAUAGAACUGCUGUACCCCAAAGCAAGCCAUAAAAUCUAGGAAGACUAUCUGACCCUCUCUUCUCCUCCCUGAAGACCCUUACAUGACAAGUGUCAUGCCCUAUGCCCAGAGGAAGAAAUGCUACACAGAGAGGCCAAGAAAAAUCUGAACACACAGGACUUGUUGGAAUUCCCCUCAAGUUAUUAUCAUUACAUCAUGCCUUUUUUGUCCAGUCAUAUUUCUACACAGCUGUCCAUUCUUCAUCGAACCUAAGCUUAAGAAUAUGCACUUCUCCCUGGGUCUCUGGGUCUUCAUUUCUGAGCGCUCCCAUGUGAUGUAAAAUUUUGAUUAAAUAAAUUUUUUCUUGAUAACCUGUCUUUUGUUAUGGAAGUUUCAGCCAUGACCCUUGUGAUAGGCGAGGAAAAGUUAUUACACUUUUACCCCUACAAAGGA